UACGUAGGGGGCAAGCGUUGUCCGGAUUUAUUGGGCGUAAAGAGCGUGUAGGCGGCUUGGUAGGUCCGCUGUGAAAACUCGAGGCUCAACCUCGAGAUGUCGGCGGAAACCACUUGGCUAGAGUCCGGAAGAGGAGAGUGGAAUUCCUGGUGUAGCGGUGAAAUGCGCAGAUAUCAGGAAGAACACCUAUGGCGAAGGCAGCUCUCUGGGACGGUACUGACGCUGAGACGCGGAAGCGUGGGGAGCGAACAGG
rnacentral:rRNA from 1 species